rnacentral:rRNA from 1 species
CUUUUACGGAGAGUUUGAUUCUGGCUCAGAACGAACGCUGGCGGCGUGGAUAAGACAUGCAAGUCGAACGCGAGUUGCCUUAUAGCAAUAUGAGUCAACUCGAGUGGCGAAAGGGUGCGUAACACGUAGCUUACCUACCUCGAAGCGGGGGAUAGCUCGGCGAAAGCCGAAUUAAUACCGCAUGUGGUCGAGAGACUAAAGUUGGGGAUCGCAAGACCUGACACUUCGAGAUGGGGCUGCGGCCUAUCAGCUAGUUGGUGAGGUAACGGCUCACCAAGGCGAAGACGGGUAGCUGGUCUGAGAGGACGACCAGCCACACUGGAACUGAGACACGGUCCAGACACCUACGGGUGGCAGCAGUCGAGGAUUUUUCUCAAUGGGGGAAACCCUGAAGGAGCGACGCCGCGUGAGGGAUGAAGGUCUUCGGAUUGUAAACCUCUGUCAUCUGGGAACAAUGCGCUCCACCUAAUACGUGGAUCGUUGAUAGUACCGGAAGAGGAAGCAGUGGCUAACUCUGUGCCAGCAGCCGCGGUAAUACAGAGACUGCAAGCGUUGUUCGGAUUCAUUGGGCGUAAAGGGCGCGUAGGCGGUUCGGUAAGUCGGAUGUGAAAUCUCACAGCCUAACUGUGAGCGGUCAUUCGAAACUGCCGGGCUCGAGGAAUGGAGAGGAGACUGGAAUGGUCGGUGUAGCGGUGAAAUGCGUAGAGAUCGACCAGAACACCGGUGGCGAAGGCGGGUCUCUGGACAUUUCCUGACGCUG